AGCAGUGGGGAAUAUUGCACAAUGGGGGAAACCCUGAUGCAGCAACGCCGCGUGAGCGAAGAAGGCCUUCGGGUUGUAAAGCUCUGUCUUUGCUGACGAUAAUGACGGUAAGCAAGGAGGAAGCCACGGCUAACUACGUGCCAGCAGCCGCGGUAAUACGUAGGUGGCGAGCGUUGUCCGGAAUUACUGGGCGUAAAGGGUGCGUAGGCGGCAAUUUAAGUGGGAUGUGAAAUCCCCGGGCUUAACUCGGGAGGUGCAUUCCAAACUGGGUUGCUAGAGUGCAGGAGAGGAAAGUGGAAUUUCCAGUGUAGCGGUGAAAUGCGUAGAUAUUGGGAGGAACACCAGUGGCGAAGGCGACUUUCUGGACUGUAACUGACGCUGAGGCACGAAAGCGUGGGUAGCAAACAGGAUUAGAUACCCUGGUAGUCCACGCCAUAAACGAUGGAUACUAGGUGUAGGGGGCGAAGCCCUCUGUGCCGCAGUU
rnacentral:rRNA from 1 species